rnacentral:rRNA from 1 species
UACAGAGGUCUCAAGCGUUGUUCGGAUUCAUUGGGCGUAAAGGGUGCGUAGGCGGCGCGGUAAGUCGGGUGUGAAAUCUCGGGGCUUAACUCCGAAACUGCAUUCGAUACUGCCGUGCUUGAGGACUGGAGAGGAGACUGGAAUUUACGGUGUAGCGGUGAAAUGCGUAGAUAUCAGGAGGAACACCGAUGGCGAAGGCAGCUCGCUGGGACGGUACUGACGCUGAGACGCGAAAAGCGUGGGGAGCAAACAGG